UACUGACAGGCGGGUACACUGUAUCUCACAUGUAAUGUGGUGUUUUAGAGUUCAUAAAAUGACUAGUUUAACAGGUACACGGGGUAAACAAGUGUCCUAGUCUGAAGUGCGUCACACACGGUUUUUUUUUUUUUCUGGGAGACGCUUAAUAGCAAAACGAAUGCACUAAGCAAAAUGAAGCACAGGGAGUGAUGAAGACAUUUAGUUCAAAUACAACGAUUUGUUGCACAUUUUUACUAGUCAAUAUGUCUAGACGGUUAUGAAAUUUGAGACAAGAUAAAGCCCAUGCAAAGAGACAAUCCUUCAAUCAGUUAGCUAGAUUUGCUUGCAAAUCGACCCCAUCAACACAAGCAGGGAUAUUCUUACUUUUUCUAAUGGUCUUUCUGAGCGCAGUAAAACGAUUAGAUGGACUGUGGACACACCAAGAGGGGGGUACGCUUACAAAACAAACAGCUCUCCACUGACUAAAUAAUUUGUGGAUCUCAGCUUAACUUGGAACUUUAGCACAGACUCAGGAAGUCCUUAAGAUCCGGCGACCUGAACAGGUCUUCAGCAGCAUGUGAAGUGGCUUUACAGAAUUGUGUGCCUGUGCAGAAACCAUCCAAUUUCCUUUAACAUUUCCACCAAACAUUCAUAUUCUUAAGUUAAGGCAUCAUUAUUUUUUAAGUUCUGUAUUUAAUAUAUUAGUGGCAUAGUUAAUUAAAUCACUGCAAGCUUUGUUUUAUUUUUGUCCUUUUUAAAAAAAAAAAAAAGAGCCAGGAUUCAGGCAUUUCCUAUCACAGCCCACACUCAUGCCUCGCAAUACUGACAUCUGGGGUUAUUGCUGAUGCCUGAUUUGAUUCAUUUUUCACAUUUGGAAACCACAAUAAAUUGUAAAUUUGUGGUUUCUACCAAAUAUGUAAUUCCCUAAAUACUUUAAUUCCUCCAGAUGCUUGUAUAGUACAGGAGGGACUGUGUAAGAGAUCUGUAGAAUGGGUUACAGCAUUGUGAACUUGAAGCCCUGAGGUGGGGGCACUACUGCAUGCGACUGAGCUGCCAUUGCCCCAUGGACUCCACAAAACACACUGGAUGCCAAUGCUUCGCUGCAAUGAUGACUUGUCUACAUUUGGUUGUCGGGAGUCCGUGAAAAACAAUGGAUUUGUGUUGCCGUGGAAACCAGUAACAGAAUGAGAAGGGAACACAAAAACAGACAGUAAAAUAAACCCUAAAAACAAGAGCGGUCCAUGUCAGUUUUUUUUUUUGUCCUAGCGAUAUUAAAAUCACAUCCUUGUGUAACACUGGCUUUUUAAAAAGUGUUUGUUAUUAUGAACUAUAACAACAACCCAGUGUUUGGUAUUGAUGACUACAGCAUCCACAACACAAAAGCCCCAACUUCACAAUAAGAAAAUUACAAUUUUGGCUUGAGGCUGGCAUUCUCACUUCCACUUGUAAGUUAUUUUGUGUGAAAUUUUCCCAUUAUCAGCUGCAAAGGAGAAAUAGGUAAAAAGGGUUAAUGGGUUUCACCCAGCUUUAACAGACAAGUGAUUUUAAGACUAAGGCAGGGGUGCUGCACCUCCUGCAUUAUGGUUGGCAAGUCAGGCAGGUGGUUUAUUCAUUCAGGUGACACACUUGCUUAGCAUCUGGGGAAAUAGCUUUUUAGAUGUGCUGCUUUUUGUUUUUAAGCAAGUUUCAAAAUGCUUUAAGUGUUUAAAGAAAGUGUGAAUGGUAAAAUGGCCCCGUGUGAAACUAUGAACUGCCACUGCAAUCAGAAAUGAGGCAGUGCAAAGGUGAGUGGGCAGGACUUGACUACAUUGUACCAUGGUUUACUAUGAACCGUGCUGCAUCUAAAAGGUCGUACCCUAUAAGAUUAAAGCCUGCUGCAUUAGAGCGCAGAGGUUCCAUCUGGCUAUUUCCUGUGCUAGUGUUUUCAGUACUAAACUGGGAUUUCAGAUUGAUGGAAAACUUCAAGGCAGUGCUAAAGCAGCAACAAACUAGAAGCUGCUGCUGCUGCUGCAAAAUAUAUUUUUUUACGCUGCUUUACCGAAGUUGGAAAAAGCGUUUGCUACUCUUUAAAUCAUCCUCCAAAAAAGGAUUUUAGUCGUCCAUCCGUCCCC